CAGGGAAUAGUUUAAGUAGAAUUUCAG
rnacentral:tRNA from 1 species